UCAAACUAAAGUGUUAGGUGCUGAUCAUAUUAAUGUUUCAUAUUCGUACAACGAGCUGGGUGUCUUGCUUUGGAAGAAUGGAGAGUAUGAAAAAGCAAAAGAUUAUCUCGAACCAGCGAUGAAAAUUCAAACAAAAACAUUGGGACCUGACCAUGUCAGUAUUGCGACAGUGUGCAACAAUCUGGGUUUGGUUUACGAGGAUAUGGGAGAGUACGAAAAAGCAAAAGAUUUUUAUGAACGAGCGAUAGAAAUUGAAACAAAAGCAUUUGGACCUGACCAUGUUACUACUGCGACAAGGUACUGCAAUCUGGGUUCGGUUUACAGUAAAAUGAGAGAGUGCGAAAAAGCAAAAGAUUUUUAUGAACGAACGAUAGAAAUUGAAACGAAAACAUUUGGACCUGACCAUGUUAAUAUUGCGGCAACGUACAUCAAUCUGGGUUCGGUUUACAAUGAUAUGGGAGAGCACGAAAAAGCAAAAGAUUUUUAUGAACGAGCAA